rnacentral:rRNA from 1 species
AUUGAACGCUGGCGGCAGGCCUAACACAUGCAAGUCGAGCGGAUGAAGGGAGCUUGCUCCUGGAUUCAGCGGCGGACGGGUGAGUAAUGCCUAGGAAUCUGCCUGGUAGUGGGGGAUAACGUCCGGAAACGGGCGCUAAUACCGCAUACGUCCUGAGGGAGAAAGUGGGGGAUCUUCGGACCACACGCUAUCAGAUGAGCCUAGGUCGGAUUAGCUAGUUGGUGGGGUAAAGGCCUACCAAGGCGACGAUCCGUAACUGGUCUGAGGGGAUGACCAGUCACACUGGACCUGAGACCCGUUCCAGCCUCCUACGGGAGGCAGCGGUGGGAAAUAUUGGACAAUGGGCGAAAGCCUGCUCCAGCCAGGCCGCGGGGGUGAAGAAGGUCUUCGGAUUGUAAAGCACUUUAAGUUGGGAGGAAGGGUAGUAAGUUAAUACCUUGCUGUUUUGACGUGACCAACAGAAUAAGCACCGGCUAACUUCGU